UACACAUUUUGUUCCGUAAAAAAUGGCGAUUAUUAUGUUUUUUCCUGAGUAAGUGGGGCUAUUAGGCCUACUCCCUUCUGUCAUUACAGUUUUUGUAGAAAUCUUGCACAGUUACUUUUCGUAUAUAGGAAUAUUGUCUGUAAGGAUAAAUGAGAGUCAGUAUACCACAUCGUACAGCACGUGGUCACUUUUAGCACUCUUGGAUGUUGAAGGUCGUGUUCACACUAGCAGAGCAGAGCUUUCUGCCAAGGUUACUAGCCAAGGACGACACAGUUCCCUGCCUUAGCACUUGUGGCUCCAUCUACGCAAAUGCUCAACAGUCGGGUGGGACAUGGAAAAGUAUCACCAGUUGGAAUGUGCAGUUUAUGAAGUAGCUGGUCAUAAAUAAAGAGUUCACUAACAGUGA